rnacentral:rRNA from 1 species
UUGAUGGCGACCGGCGCACGGGUGAGUAACGCGUAUGCAACUUACCUAUCAGAGGGGGAUAGCCCGGCGAAAGUCGGAUUAAUACCCCAUAAAACAGGGGUCCCGCAUGGGAAUAUUUGUUAAAGAUUCACCGCUGAUAGAUAGGCAUGCGUUCCAUUAGGCAGUUGGCGGGGUAACGGCCCACCAAACCGACGAUGGAUAGGGGUUCUGAGAGGAAGGUCCCCCACAUUGGUACUGAGACACGGACCAA